rnacentral:tRNA from 1 species
GCCCCAGUAGCUCAAUGGACAGAGCGCCUGACUUCGGAUCAGACGGUUCCGGGUUCGAAUCCUGGCUGGGGCG